GUGAGGAAUAUUGCGCAAUGGAGGCAACUCUGACGCAGCCAUGCCGCGUGCAGGAAGAAGGCGCUACGCGUUGUAAACUGCUUUUAACCGGGAAGAAACCCCAGGACGUGUCCUGGGUUGACGGUACCGGAGGAAUAAGCACCGGCUAACUUCGUGCCAGCAGCCGCGGUAAUACGAAGGGUGCAAGCGUUAUCCGGAUUCAUUGGGGUUAAAGGGUGCGUAGGCGGAGCGUUAAGUCAGUGGUGAAAUCCUGCAGCUUAACUGUAGACUUGCCAUUGAUACUGGCGCUCUUGAGUGCGCUUGAAGUGGGCGGAAUGUGCCGUGUAGCGGUGAAAUGCUUAGAUAUGGCACAGAACACCAAUUGCGAAGGCAGCUCACUAAGGCGAUACUGACGCUGAGGCACGAAAGCGUGGGGAUCGAACAGGAUUAGAAACCCUAGUAGUCC
rnacentral:rRNA from 1 species